rnacentral:sRNA from 1 species
UAGGUUGCCCAAACCAAAUUACCACUACACCGACAAUGAGUGGCUUAGAGCCAUCACAGUUAAGGCUAAAGAGGACUCAGGCGAAGAAGAAACAAGAACCUCCAACAAAAACCAAGCAAUAAAAACCUAGAUCUAAAAAGAGAAAAAAGCAGAGAACCAAUCGACGUCGUGACCAAUCCAAAGAUCUUUCCACACAAAGACAUAAAACUA